ACUCCCCUAAUACAAACAAUAUAAGUGACUUCCAAUUACUAAAUUUCAGUCUAAAACCUGAAGAGGAGUA
rnacentral:tRNA from 1 species